CAGAUAGAUAGCGUGUAUUUUAAUAGUGAUAAACUGAUAAAUGUAGCCGACAAAAGAAAAACAAGAAUGCCCUAACAAUACGAUGAAAUAGUGAGCUGUGUUUUCAUUUCUAUUUACGAACUACUUUUGUUGUUUAAAAAAAAGGAUUUGAUAUCUAUCCGGCGCCUGGGAAAGAAAGUGACAAUGUAAUAUUAACUGCUUCACACAGUGCCCUGUGUUUCUAUGGCAAACGGUUUCUAUUUCAACAGUUAUUCGAGAGGACAUCAUAUUCAAUGAACAAA